AUGGAAAAUAAAGAUGCUAAACCUAGACUUAUUAGAUGGGUUCUCUUGCUAAAAGAAUUUGAUUUGCAUAUUAUUGAUAGAAAGGGAGCUGAGAACCCUGUUGCAGACAACUUGUCUAGGUUAGAGAAUGUUCUUGAUGACCCACUACCAAUUGAUGAUAGCUUACCUAGUGAACAAUUAGCUGUCAUAAAUGCUUCUUGUACUGCUCCAUGGUAUGAGGAUUAUGAUAAUAACAUUGUUGCUAAAUUUAUACCACCUAGUUUCACAUACCAGCAAAAGAAAAAGGUUUCCUAUGAUUUAAGACAUUACUUUUGGGAUGACCCACACCUUUACAAAGAAGGAGUAGAUGGUGUUAAUAGACGUUGUGUACCUGAGCAUGAAUAG
rnacentral:rRNA from 1 species